GCGGUAAGACGGAGGAUGCAAGCGUUAUCCGGAAUUAUUGGGCGUAAAGCGUCCGUAGGCGGUUUAUCAAGUCUGCCGUUAAAGACUGCAGCUUAACUGUGGAUGAGCGGUGGAAACUGAUUAACUAGAGUACGGUAGGGGUAGAGGGAAUUCCCAGUGUAGCGGUGAAAUGCGUAGAUAUUGGGAAGAACACCAGUGGCGAAGGCGCUCUGCUGGGCCGUAACUGACGCUGAGGGACGAAAGCUAGGGGAGCGAAAGGGAUUAGAUACCCCUGUA
rnacentral:rRNA from 1 species